GACGAACGCUGGCGGCGCGCCUAACACAUGCAAGUCGAACGGAGCUGAGAGAAGCUUGCUUUUCUUAGCUUAGUGGCGAACGGGUGAGUAACGCGUGAGUAACCUGCCCUGGAGUGGGGGACAACAGUUGGAAACGACUGCUAAUACCGCAUAAGCCCACGAUCCGGCAUCGGAUUGAGGGAAAAGGAUUUAUUCGCUUCAGGAUGGACUCGCGUCCAAUUAGCUAGUUGGUGAGGUAACGGCCCACCAAGGCGACGAUUGGUAGCCGGACUGAGAGGUUGACCGCCAGCUGGGGGACGGAGCCCCGCCCCGGCCCCGGCGGGGAGGAGGAGGGGGGGGUUAUGAAAGAGGGGGGAAACCUCGGAUGCGCCGGCGCGGGGGGGAGAAAGAAGUUUUUCGGAUUAAAAACUCUGGUGGUGAGGAAGAAUAAGGAGGGUCCAAAAAAAGAAAGCCCCGGCAAAUCACGUC
rnacentral:rRNA from 1 species